rnacentral:rRNA from 1 species
AGAGUUUGAUCAUGGCUCAGAGCGAACGCUGGCGGCAGGCUUAACACAUGCAAGUCGAGCGGGCGUAGCAAUACGUCAGCGGCAGACGGGUGAGUAACGCGUGGGAACGUACCUUUUGGUUCGGAACAACACAGGGAAACUUGUGCUAAUACCGGAUAAGCCCUUACGGGGAAAGAUUUAUCGCCGAAAGAUCGGCCCGCGUCUGAUUAGCUAGUUGGUGAGGUAAUGGCUCACCAAGGCGACGAUCAGUAGCUGGUCUGAGAGGAUGAUCAGCCACAUUGGGACUGAGACACGGCCCAAACUCCUACGGGAGGCAGCAGUGGGGAAUAUUGGACAAUGGGCGCAAGCCUGAUCCAGCCAUGCCGCGUGAGUGAUGAAGGCCCUAGGGUUGUAAAGCUCUUUUGUGCGGGAAGAUAAUGACGGUACCGCAAGAAUAAGCCCCGGCUAACUUCGUGCCAGCAGCCGCGGUAAUACGAAGGGGGCUAGCGUUGCUCGGAAUCACUGGGCGUAAAGGGUGCGUAGGCGGGUCUUUAAGUCAGGGGUGAAAUCCUGGAGCUCAACUCCAGAACUGCCUUUGAUACUGAGGAUCUUGAGUUCGGGAGAGGUGAGUGGAACUGCGAGUGUAGAGGUGAAAUUCGUAGAUAUUCGCAAGAACACCAGUGGCGAAGGCGGCUCACUGGUCCGAUACUGACGCUGAGGCACGAAAGCGUGGGGAGCAAACAGGAUUAGAUACCCUAGUAGUCC